rnacentral:rRNA from 1 species
AAGGGUGAGGGUGGAAUGGGCUUCUGUGACCUGAGGUUAUUUAAUCAAGCUCUCCUGACAAAACAAGCUUGGCGUUUAUUGGUUAACCCGGACUCGCUAUGUGCUAAGGUAAUAAAGGCAAAAUAUUAUCCUCAGGGGCAUCUUCUUGACACGGUUUUUCCUCAGUCAACCUCAGUGACAUGGCAAGGUAUUAUGCAUGGUCUGGAACUCCUUAAAAAUGGUGUCAUUUGGAGGGUGGUUGAUGGAGGGAAUAUCAAUAUCUGA